GAAAUACAGCCAGACCAGAGCCUUUGCAGUCCGCAGCUGACCGGAAGACGUUGCCUUUCAUUCAUUCAUUCUGCCCGCCUCUGUGGACUCCUUUACUAGGCGACCAGCCCUGAAACAGAAGUUGGACAUUUUUUAAAGGUUCUUGCGCUCGGCAAGGGGAGCAGAUAGAUGCUCAGGAGCGAAAGACGCAGAGAAUUGGAUCUGGCGCCUCCUAACGCAGCCCGCACAGGAGCGAAGGGAUGGAGUGCAGUGGUGCGACCUUGGCUCACUGCAACCUCUGCCUUGCCUCCGGAGUUCAAGCGAUCCUCCUGCCUCGGCCUCCCAAGUAGCUGGGAUUACAGGCACCCACCGCCACACCCAGAGAGUGUGACGAUCCCCCUGAUGCGGCUGAGAUGUUCUGAAAUGAAGACGUUGGCUCUCAUCCCCAGCCUGAAGAGAGAAAAUUCUGAGAUGGCUCCCUUACAGAUUGAGAGCAGAUACGGGGUUUCACCGUGCUAGCCAGGAUGAUCUCGAUCUACUGACCUCGUGAUCCGCCCGCCUCGGCCUCCCAAAGUGCUGGGAUUAUAGGCGUGAGCCACCGCGCCCGGCGGCUGUGGCUAAUUAUUAGGCACUGGGUAGGAACACAGCCAAGAACGAUUGCAGGAUGGGUCCUUCCAGGACACUGACGUCUCAGCUUGCGCACUGUGAGUCCCUGGACGAGUUACUCCACCUCUCUGAACCUCCUCCUCACUUGCAUAAUGGGAAAAAUAAUGGACAUAGGAAGAUGAAACAAGACCUUGGAGACCACAUUUACCAUCUUAUUUUCCUUGUUCCUUUUUCUUUUCUUUUUUUGUUUUUGUUUGUUUGUUUUUUGGAGACAGGGUCUCACUCUGUCACCCAGGCUGGCGUGCAAUGGCGCGAUCUCAGCUCACUGCAGCCUCUGCCUCCUGUGUUCAAGGGAUCCUCCCACCUCAGCCUCCCGGGUAGCUGGCACCACAGACGCACACCACCAUGCCUGGCUAAAUUUUUUUGUAUUUUUAGUAGAAGUGGGGUUUUACCAUGUUGGCCAGGCUGUUCUCGAACUCCUGGCCUCAAGUGAUCCGUCCACCUCGGCCUCCCAAAGUGCUGGGAUUACAGGCGUGAACCACUGAGCCCGGCCCCUUGUUCCCUGUUCUGUUUCUUUUUCACUGUUAUCACUGAUCACCAUCGAUCAUAUUAUCUACAUAUCUAUUAGAUUGGCGCAAAAGUAAUUGCUGUUUUUGCCAUUACCUCCAAUGGCAUUACUUUCAGUGGCAAAAACUGCAAUUACUUUUGCGCCAACCUAAUAUAUUGAGACAGGGUCUCUCUCUGUCACCCAGGCUGCUGGAGGGCAGUGACACAAUCACAGCUCACUGCCAUGUCCAACUCCUGGAUUCAAGUGAUCCUCCCGCCUCAGUCUCCUGAUUACCUGGGACUACAGGCAUGUAUCACCACACCCAGCCGGUUUUUUUGUUUGUUUGUUUUUGAAACAGUUUUGCUUUUGCCCCCCAGGCUGGAGUGCAAUGGCAUGAUCUUGGUUCACUGCAACCUCUGCCUCCGGGGUUCAAGCGAUUCUCCUGUCUCAGCCUCCCAAGUAGCUGGGAUUACAGGUGCCUACCACCACACCUGGCUAAUUUUUGGUUUUGUGGGUGUGUGUGUGUGUGUGUGUGUGUGUGUGUGUGUGUGUUGGAGUCUGGCUCUGUCACCCAGGCUGCUGGAGUGCAAUGGCGCAAUCUUCAGCUCACUGCAACCUCUGCCUCCUGGGUUUAAGCAAUUCUCCUGCCUCAGACUCCUGAGUAGCUGAGAUUACAGGUGUCCACCACCACGCCCGGCUAAUUUUUGUAUUUUUAGUAGAGACAGGGUUUCACCGUGUUGGCCAGGCUGGUCUCCAUCUCCUGACCUCAGGUGAUCCACCUGCCUCA
rnacentral:lncRNA from 1 species